rnacentral:rRNA from 1 species
UUCGAAGGGGCUAGCGUUGCUCGGAAUCACUGGGCGUAAAGGGUGCGUAGGCGGGUCUUUAAGUCAGGGGUGAAAUCCUGGAGCUCAACUCCAGAACUGCCUUUGAUACUGAGGAUCUUGAGUUCGGGAGAGGUGAGUGGAACUGCGAGUGUAGAGGUGAAAUUCGUAGAUAUUCGCAAGAACACCAGUGGCGAAGGCGGCUCACUGGCCCGAUACUGACGCUGAGGCACGAAAGCGUGGGGAGCAAACAGG